GGUUAAGCGACUAAGCGUACACGGUGGAUGCCCUGGCAGUCAGAGGCGAUGAAGGGCGUGCUAAUCUGCGAUAAGCGCCGGUAAGGUGAUAUGAACCGUUAUAACCGGCGAUACCCGAAUGGGGAAACCCAGUGUGACUCGUCACACUAUCAUUAACUGAAUCCAUAGGUUAAUGAGGCGAACCGGGGGAACUGAAACAUCUAAGUACCCCGAGGAAAAGAAAUCAACCGAGAUUCCCCCAGUAGCGGCGAGCGAACGGGGAGGAGCCCAGAGCCUGAAUCAGCAUGUGUGUUAGUGGAAGCGUCUGGAAAGGCGCGCGAUACAGGGUGACAGCCCCGUACACAAAAGCGCAUGUGCUGUGAGCUCGAUGAGUAGGGCGGGACACGUGGUAUCCUGUCUGAAUAUGGGGGGACCAUCCUCCAAGGCUAAAUACUCCUGACUGACCGAUAGUGAACCAGUACCGUGAGGGAAAGGCGAAAAGAACCCCGGCGAGGGGAGUGAAAAAGAACCUGAAACCGUGUACGUACAAGCAGUGGGAGCACAGGUUUACCUGUGUGACUGCGUACCUUUUGUAUAAUGGGUCAGCGACUUAUAUUCUGUAGCAAGGUUAACCGAAUAGGGGAGCCGGAGGGAAACCGAGUCUUAAUUGGGCGUUAAGUUGCAGGGUAUAGACCCGAAACCCGGUGAUCUAGCCAUGGGCAGGUUGAAGGUUGGGUAACACUAACUGGAGGACCGAACCGACUAAUGUUGAAAAAUUAGCGGAUGACCUGUGGCUGGGGGUGAAAGGCCAAUCAAACCGGGAGAUAGCUGGUUCUCCCCGAAAGCUAUUUAGGUAGCGCCUCGUGAAUUCAUCUCCGGGGGUAGAGCACUGUUUCGGCUAGGGGGCCAUCCCGGCUUACCAACCCGAUGCAAACUGCGAAUACCGGAGAAUGUUAUCACGGGAGACACACGGCGGGUGCUAACGUCCGUCGUGAAGAGGGAAACAACCCAGACCGCCAGCUAAGGUCCCAAAGUCAUGGUUAAGUGGGAAACGAUGUGGGAAGGCCCAGACAGCCAGGAUGUUGGCUUAGAAGCAGCCAUCAUUUAAAGAAAGCGUAAUAGCUCACUGGUCGAGUCGGCCUGCGCGGAAGAUGUAACGGGGCUAAACCAUGCACCGAAGCUGCGGCAGCGACACUGUGUGUUGUUGGGUAGGGGAGCGUUCUGUAAGCCUGUGAAGGUGGCCUGUGAGGGUUGCUGGAGGUAUCAGAAGUGCGAAUGCUGACAUAAGUAACGAUAAAGCGGGUGAAAAGCCCGCUCGCCGGAAGACCAAGGGUUCCUGUCCAACGUUAAUCGGGGCAGGGUGAGUCGACCCCUAAGGCGAGGCCGAAAGGCGUAGUCGAUGGGAAACAGGUUAAUAUUCCUGUACUUGGUGUUACUGCGAAGGGGGGACGGAGAAGGCUAUGUUGGCCGGGCGACGGUUGUCCCGGUUUAAGCGUGUAGGUGUGUGUUCCAGGUAAAUCCGGUUCACUUUAACACUGAGGCGUGAUGACGAGGCACUACGGUGCUGAAGCAACAAAUGCCCUGCUUCCAGGAAAAGCCUCUAAGCAUCAGGUAACAUCAAAUCGUACCCCAAACCGACACAGGUGGUCAGGUAGAGAAUACCAAGGCGCUUGAGAGAACUCGGGUGAAGGAACUAGGCAAAAUGGUGCCGUAACUUCGGGAGAAGGCACGCUGACACGUAGGUGAAGUGAUUUACUCAUGGAGCUGAAGUCAGUCGAAGAUACCAGCUGGCUGCAACUGUUUAUUAAAAACACAGCACUGUGCAAACACGAAAGUGGACGUAUACGGUGUGACGCCUGCCCGGUGCCGGAAGGUUAAUUGAUGGGGUCAGCGCAAGCGAAGCUCCUGAUCGAAGCCCCGGUAAACGGCGGCCGUAACUAUAACGGUCCUAAGGUAGCGAAAUUCCUUGUCGGGUAAGUUCCGACCUGCACGAAUGGCGUAAUGAUGGCCAGGCUGUCUCCACCCGAGACUCAGUGAAAUUGAACUCGCUGUGAAGAUGCAGUGUACCCGCGGCAAGACGGAAAGACCCCGUGAACCUUUACUAUAGCUUGACACUGAACAUUGAGCCUUGAUGUGUAGGAUAGGUGGGAGGCUUUGAAGCGUGGACGCCAGUCUGCGUGGAGCCGACCUUGAAAUACCACCCUUUAAUGUUUGAUGUUCUAACGUGGACCCGUAAUCCGGGUUGCGGACAGUGUCUGGUGGGUAGUUUGACUGGGGCGGUCUCCUCCUAAAGAGUAACGGAGGAGCACGAAGGUUGGCUAAUCCUGGUCGGACAUCAGGAGGUUAGUGCAAUGGCAUAAGCCAGCUUGACUGCGAGCGUGACGGCGCGAGCAGGUGCGAAAGCAGGUCAUAGUGAUCCGGUGGUUCUGAAUGGAAGGGCCAUCGCUCAACGGAUAAAAGGUACUCCGGGGAUAACAGGCUGAUACCGCCCAAGAGUUCAUAUCGACGGCGGUGUUUGGCACCUCGAUGUCGGCUCAUCACAUCCUGGGGCUGAAGUAGGUCCCAAGGGUAUGGCUGUUCGCCAUUUAAAGUGGUACGCGAGCUGGGUUUAGAACGUCGUGAGACAGUUCGGUCCCUAUCUGCCGUGGGCGCUGGAGAACUGAGGGGGGCUGCUCCUAGUACGAGAGGACCGGAGUGGACGCAUCACUGGUGUUCGGGUUGUCAUGCCAAUGGCACUGCCCGGUAGCUAAAUGCGGAAGAGAUAAGUGCUGAAAGCAUCUAAGCACGAAACUUGCCCCGAGAUGAGUUCUCCCUGAGACUUAGAGUCUCCUGAAGGAACGUUGAAGACGACGACGUUGAUAGGCCGGGUGUGUAAGCGCAGCGAUGCGUUGAGCUAACCGGUACUAAUGAACCGUGAGGCUUAACCUU
rnacentral:rRNA from 1 species